rnacentral:rRNA from 1 species
CGAUGCCUGCAAAGUAGACCGGCGAACUUGUUAAAACAUGCGGGGGGGUUUGAGAAGGGGUGCGCAACCACCCCCUAUCACGCUCCCCCCACCUCGGGAUAUGGCUUGCUUUCCCCCCUGGCGGGGAACUCGGCCAAGCUCCCGACAAACGAACCCCGGCGCUGUCUGCGCCAAGGAACAAUAACCGAAGAGCUGGUCUCCCGGUGCCCCGUCCGCGGCGUGCACGGGAGGCGUUUGCGUCUUUUGAAU